GUAGGGAAUAUUGGGCAAUGGGGGAAACCCUGACCCAGCAACGCCGCGUGAGGGAAGAAGGCCUAACGGUUGUAAACCUCUGUCAUAUGGGAAGAAGGAAUGACAGUACCAUAUGAGGAAGCUCCGGCUAACUACGUGCCAGCAGCCGCGGUAAUACGUAGGGAGCAAGCGUUGUCCGGAAUUACUGGGCGUAAAGGGUGCGUAGGCGGCAUGUUAAGUUAGAUGUCAAAUACCCGGGCUUAACCCGGGGACGCAUCUAAAACUGGCGUGCUUGAGUGCAGGAGAGGAAAGCGGAAUUCCUAGUGUAGCGGUGGAAUGCGUAGAUAUUAGGAGGAACACCAGUGGCGAAGGCGGCUUCCUGGCACAAUACUGACGCUCAUGUGCGAAAGCUAGGGCAGCGAACGGGAUUAGAUACCCUUGUAGUCC
rnacentral:rRNA from 1 species